CUGUCGCGUCUUCGUCCUCAGCACUUGCUUUUACCCAAAUGACAGCCGUUCUGGAGGAUGUGGAGCGGGACCUGGCUUGUUUAUUUUAGCCUGGCUGCCGGGAGCCCUGCUUUGGACAAGCCUCAACUUUGGUCUUAUGAAGACUUGAACAAGACACUCCCAUAGUUUCUCACAGCUCGCGGAUCUACCACCUGGGGAUGAACCCAGCACCCAUUCAGGUGCCCACCUGAGCAAAGGGAAGGUCGUCUCCCCUGCAGUUAGGCGGGGUCAGAGGACCAGUCAUGGCCAAAGCAUCACUUCCAAGCAAAGCACAGAGGUGCCAGUGUCCAACCUGGUAUGACCUCCAGAGCAACAGCUGUCAGAGGACAGUGCCACACCAGCCUGGGUCCCCGAGCUACUCUGUGGAGCACCACACACCCCUCGUUGACCUUCAUGGGAAGGUGAGCAAGAAAUAAAUUCUCUUCUCUGAAGCCACUGCGAUAAGGUAAGGUGCCUGUUUUUUGAUGGAGAAUAACGACAUCAAAUCAGGUGGGUCUUGUGAUCACCCCAGCUUCCCAUGCUGCAUGAAAGGGAGCAGCAUGGAGGCACACUAUGUUGAAACAACAGAAGUUGGGGUGCAGAGAGAUGAGGCCACAACAAUUUGCAGGGCAGAGUCCUGGAGAGGAGGGAGGAGUGGAGAGAAAGAGGGAGGAGGUUGGUAUGAUGCGUGCAUACAUCCCAGACUGCAGACAAAUGCAGCCACCACGCACAUUGCAGUGGGAAACCAUGGGUGGGUGCAAAGGAGGAAGAGAGCGGUGAUCUGGACUAUCCAGG